rnacentral:rRNA from 1 species
GACGUAGGGCGCGAGCGUUGUCCGGAUUUAUUGGGCGUAAAGGGCUCGUAGGCGGUCUGUCGCGUCGGGAGUGAAAACUCAGGGCUUAACCCUGAGCCUGCUUCCGAUACGGGCAGACUAGAGGUAUGCAGGGGAGAAUGGAAUUCCUGGUGUAGCGGUGAAAUGCGCAGAUAUCAGGAGGAACACCGGUGGCGAAGGCGGUUCUCUGGGCAUUACCUGACGCUGAGGAGCGAAAGUGUGGGGAGCGAACAGG